GCAGUGGUGGUUCAGUGGUAGAAUCCUUGCCUUCUGUGCAGGAGACCUGGGUUUGAUUCUUGGCCAAUACA
rnacentral:tRNA from 1 species